GUCAACGCAGGGAGGAUCAGCUUAUGGGACUUACACACUCGUUGAACGUCCUUAUGAUCAGUGCAGCGUUCGCAUUCGUGGCCGUAAUGCUUUUCGUGUGAUCCAGGGCCACUGACAGUCCAGCCGAAACGGGGACUUUAAUUUCCGGAAAAUCCAUUUUUGCAGCGAGGCAUGUCUGACGGCCGCUCAGGCGCAAUAGUUCGACAGGCUGCAACAAUCAGAAAGCCCAUGAAUGCUGCGGCACUCAUGGGCUUUCGCUAU
rnacentral:sRNA from 1 species